ACGAGUUUUGAAAUGGGUUGUAGCUGGCCUCACGAAGGCAUGUGCACACCCUGCUCAUCCACUCUCAUACCCCUGUGCACCUAUUGUAGGCUUGGUGGGAAGACUGGUGUCACAGCCAGUUGGAAAGCCUUGCCUAUGUUUCAACACAAACGCUUCAGUUUUAGAAUGUCACUUUUGCGUCUAACGCAUGAAAUA
rnacentral:misc_RNA from 1 species